UUGUAAAGCUCACUGAACCCCACAGAGCAACUUUAUUUGUUCAGACCACACUGGAGGAAGGGACAUUUCCCCUCCACUCGUCUCUCCACUUCCCCCUGCACGGCUCCUCCUUGGCCUGGAGCGGGAUCUCGGGGUGACAGGACAGUUUAAGCAUAACCACCCUCCAUGGAUCUUCCUUACUAUCAUGGCUGCCUGACCAAGCGAGCAUGUGAAGCCCUGCUCCUCAAGGGAGGAGCAGACGGCAACUUUCUGAUAAGAGACAGCGAGUCUGUGCCUGGAGCCCUGUGCCUCUGUGUCUCGUGAGUACCCUCCUCUUCAUGCAGGUGAACCCUGAUGGCAGCCAUACACUCUGGGAGUUGUAUCUCAUUCUACUUUGGAAUUACAAGUAAUGACCAGGCACUGCCAGGAGAGGACAGAAGGAUGUUCCUACCCAGAUCUUCUGUCUGCCUUCCUCUCUCAACUGUGCAUGCCACAUGAACGGUCUGAGACAACAGAAGAGGGUUGACAAGUAAGGAAAGAGAGAGGCUGAUGGGGAGAAAGAACUGACAGAGCAGCAUCUUCUCUACAUGUCUCUGUAUGUGAUGUGGAGAAGGCCAGGGGGACUUUAUUAUAGCAUGAAAGGUAUAAAAAGCUUGUCUACAGCUACCGAAUCUUCAGAGAGAAACAUGGAUACUACAGGAUACAGGAUCCUACCAGAAAGGAGGAUUUUCCUUCUAUUUUACUUCUAGCUGCUAACCGGAAAACAAGUCUGAGGUUUCACCCAGUCACACCUGUCACACUAUUCGCACGCAAUAUAAACUGGAACUUGUUUCUCUUAACUGCGCCCGAUGGAGAGUCCACAUACAUCUUAUCUUAUAGACUGAGGCUGAUGUUCCAAGAAAGAUCUUUCCAAACCUAGAAGAAUUAGUCUCCAAAUACAAAAAGCCAGAUCAAGGACUGGUGGUUCACCUUUCAAACCCAAUAAUGAGAACCGACUUAUGCCAAAAAGGGAGAAGAUCGGAGUUAGAGCUGAAUAUUUAUGAGAACACCAAUGAGGAGUAUGUGGACGUCCUGCCUUGAAGACAAGGAUAUCGGACAAGGCAAGCUACAAAAGAGACGGCUCUGCUCUCAGCUGCCACAUGGUCAAGUGUGAAUCUAAAACACCAAUUUCUAGUGGGCCACUGCGACCCUCUGAUUCGGAUAGCAAGAUCUGUUCUGCAGCCUUGGAGGAGCCAUUUCCCAGACACCCGCCUUCUGGUACAAUCCUCAAGAGGCCCUAAAGCCACUACUUACUGACCUCUUACUCCCCUAUCUUGAAACUGGACAGCCAUAACCCAGUCUCCUGUCUGGUUAGAGGCGGCUGGCCUGCUUCAUGGUUGACAGCUUUCAACAGGACAACGGGAAGUGAAGUUUCACACAGCAAGCAGAAAGAGUACUCAACAGUGACGUCAGAGCUCCCAUCCUGUGACUGUGACUUUAGAGAAAUCACCCCCUCGUUCUCAGCUUCUUCAUCUAUUAAAUAAUUGGGUGAUGCACAUGUCUUGGACCCUCCAUUGAGCCUGGUUCUGUCAGGCAGAGCAGGGGUCUGAGCAGCAGGAUGAGGACCUAAGGAUACUGAGAGGAAGCAAACAUGUCCUCCCGACCUGUGAGGUCGUGGUCCUGAUGGAGGUUGUGACCCACCCUGUAACUGCAGGUUUUAUCACAUGAGCUCCAGUUCCCAAAUAAUGACUCAUUGGCUUGUUAUUUAUGAAUUAAUGUCUAAACCUUGAGCUAGAAUUCUUACAUAGAUUGUAACUCAAUUAACCCAUGUAUUCUAUUCUAUUUCAGCUACAUGCCUGGUUACCUCUCCUCAGUACCUUUCACUUCCUCCCAGACUUGGCGGUGGGAAUCUUCCCUUGCCUGAUUAUUUCUCAAAAUUCCUCUUUUUUCUCUCUGGUGGUUUUCCCGCCUUAGUGUGUUGGCCAUCAGAUUUUUAUUGACAGCGGAUGCUUCUACACAGCACACAGGAGAUUAGCCCUAUGCUACCCGUGUUCCUUUCCUUUCAGCCUGAACUUGUCUUCUGUCUCGUCUUUCCAAGGUUUACCUUCUGUCCAACCUUCUUCUGGCUACAUUUUCCCACAUUCCACAUAUGCAGCCAUCACUUUGCUAGCUCUGCCUUCUGGUAAAUGUGAUUUAAAAUAUUUAUUUUUAUUACUUUUUUGGUUAACUUACAAUGUAAUGGUGUCACUCCAAACUUUUUAUACCUAUAAAUCAUUAUACUCUG
ensembl:lncRNA